AAAACUUUGUUUUAAAAUCACUUUAAUACCUAUUUUCUUCUAAAAAAACCCUAAAACUUUGAAGUUCUCCCAUCCCUUUUCUUUCGGCCGAAAGGGCCUCCCUCGGCAUUCUUCAACCGCCGCCGUGGCCUAUGGCCGGCGUUGCGGAGAAUGGGUUUUUAAGCUCCGAUUUUGAAGCACUUCUGAAGGUUAAACCCUUGGCAACUAAAAAAGGAGAGGAAAAGAACUCUUGGCCCUUUUGCUGAACCCGAUCGCAACGACGAAGAAGGCUCUCCGACGGCACGACCAAGAGGACUCAGGUGCAUGGCCCGCUGGAGCAACGACAUGGCACUUGGCGUGGGUGUAUGGACGUCGCGCGUGGCAGUUGUACGGAGCUGAAGGCUGGGGUUUUGGCUGCGGCACAAGGGGAGAAACCCUAGGGUUUCUGUUUCUAAAAUGCCUUGGGCCGUUUGGGCCUUGUAUUUUGGGCUAGGUCUUGGGUUAGGUCUAGUUUUAUAAUAUUGGGUCACAUUUGUUGUUGGGUCAUGGACUAUUUUAUAUUUUGGGUCUGUUGUAACAAAGGGACUUGGACUAUUAAAAAUUUGGUUUUAUUUAUUUUAUUUAUUUUCUGUUGGGCCAAAAUUGGCCUAUUACAUAGUAUAUAUAUUAAAUAUGGUAAAAAUAAAUCAAGCUUGUGUAGCAGCUCAGGCUUUGCAAAUCCCAAAUCAAAACGAAUACUGUUAAUCUAUUUUCUAUCAAUUGUUGAAAAUUAUCGUCAAUAAUCUCGGUCUUUUCAUCCAAGUUCGGUAUGCCAGACAAGGUUUGAACAAGAGGGAUGUCGUUCCGUCUUUCGAUAAUAGGUGGGUGUUCUUUGAUAAGAAAAUCAAGGCAAAACCGAGUCUAGAACAGACCACACAACCUUCCACACGGGCUCGUGGGCCUUCCAUGUGGACCACACAGCCUCUCACACGACCAUGUGCCACUGAAACCCUAAAAUUUUUGCUUCUCACAUGGCUUAGAUCCCUCUACACGGUCUGGCCACACGGCCCGAGCCAUACCACAUGGGCGUCUGACCCACAAGGCUAUAUGCCUCUGUUUCUUAAAUUUUACCCCAAAUUUUAUGUUUUGUGCAAAUUAGACCUUGAGUGGUUCUCGAAUUGAUUUUAGUGAUUUAUUUUAUUCAAUUAAGCCCUUGAUUUUAAUAUUAAUGCUAGAAUCCAUGAUGGAUUGAUUCGAUUACUACUACAUAA